GGCUGUCUGGCUCAGUCGGUGAAGCACGCGACUCUUGAUCUCAGGGUUGUGGGUUCGAGCCCCACGUUGGGCA
rnacentral:tRNA from 1 species